rnacentral:rRNA from 1 species
GACGAACGCUGGCGGCGUGCUUAACACAUGCGAGUCGAACGGAAAGGCACUGCGUUUGUGGGGUGCUCGAGUGGCGAACGGGUGAGUAACACGUGAAUAACCUGCCCUUGACUUUGGGAUAACUUCAGGAAACUGGGGCUAAUACCGGAUAGGAGCUCCAGCUGCAUGGUGAGGGUUGGAUAGUUUCGGCGGUUGGGGAUGGACGCGCGGCGUAUCAGCUUGUUGGUGGGGUAGUGGCUUACGAGGGCUUUGACGGGUAGCCGGCCUGAGAGCGUGAACGGGCACAAUGGGACUGAGAGACGGAGCAGUCGGCUACGGGAGGCAGCAGUGGGGAAUAUUACACAAUGAGCGGGAGCCUGAUGCAGCGACGCCGCGUGCGUGAUGACGGCCUUCUGGUUGUGAACCGCGUUCGGCUGUGACGCAGCGUGAGUGACGGUAAUGGGUAAAGAAGCACCGGCUAACUACGUG